rnacentral:rRNA from 1 species
AGAGUUUGAUCCUGGCUCAGGACGAACGCUGGCGGCGCGCCUAACACAUGCAAGUCGAACGAGCGAGAGAGAGCUUGCUUUCUCGAGCGAGUGGCGAACGGGUGAGUAACGCGUGAGGAACCUGCCUCAAAGAGGGGGACAACAGUUGGAAACGACUGCUAAUACCGCAUAAGCCCACGGGUCGGCAUCGACCAGAGGGAAAAGGAGCAAUCCGCUUUGAGAUGGCCUCGCGUCCGAUUAGCUAGUUGGUGAGGUAAUGGCCCACUAAGGCGACGAUCGGUAGCCGGACUGAGAGGUUGAACGGCCACAUUGGGACUGAGACACGGCCCAGACUCCUACGGGAGGCAGCAGUGGGGAAUAUUGCACAAUGGGGGAAACCCUGAUGCAGCGACGCCGCGUGGAGGAAGAAGGUCUUCGGAUUGUAAACUCCUGUUGUUGGGGAAGAUAAUGACGGUACCCAACAAGGAAGUGACGGCUAACUACGUGCCAGCAGCCGCGGUAAAACGUAGGUCACAAGCGUUGUCCGGAAUUACUGGGUGUAAAGGGAGCGCAGGCGGGAAGACAAGUUGGAAGUGAAAUCUAUGGGCUCAACCCAUAAACUGCUUUCAAAACUGUUCUUCUUGAGUAGUGCAGAGGUAGGCGGAAUUCCCGGUGUAGCGGUGGAAUGCGUAGAUAUCGGGAGGAACACCAGUGGCGAAGGCGGCCUACUGGGCACCAACUGACGCUGAGGCUCGAAAGUGUGGGUAGCAAACAGGAUUAGAUACCCUGGUAGUCCACACCGUAAACGAUGAUUACUAGGUGUUGGAGGAUUGACCCCUUCAGUGCCGCAGUUAACACAAUAAGUAAUCCACCUGGGGAGUACGACCGCAAGGUUGAAACUCAAAGGAAUUGACGGGGGCCCGCACAAGCAGUGGAGUAUGUGGUUUAAUUCGACGCAACGCGAAGAACCUUACCAAGUCUUGACAUCCCUUGACAGACAUAGAAAUAUGUAAUCUCUUCGGAGCAAGGAGACAGGUGGUGCAUGGUUGUCGUCAGCUCGUGUCGUGAGAUGUUGGGUUAAGUCCCGCAACGAGCGCAACCCUUAUGGUCAGUUACUACGCAAGAGGACUCUGGCCAGACUGCCGUUGGCAAAACGGAGGAAGGUGGGGAUGACGUCAAAUCAUCAUGCCCUUUAUGACUUGGGCUACACACGUACUACAAUGGCGUUAAACAAAGAGAAGCAAGACCGCGAGGUGGAGCAAAACUCAGAAACAACGUCCCAGUUCGGACUGCAGGCUGCAACUCGCCUGCACGAAGUCGGAAUUGCUAGUAAUCGUGGAUCAGCAUGCCACGGUGAAUACGUUCCCGGGCCUUGUACACACCGCCCGUCACACCAUGAGAGCCGG